rnacentral:rRNA from 1 species
UAUGGAAUUCCAGCAGCCGCGGUAAUACGGAAGGUCCGGGCGUUAUCCGGAUUUAUUGGGUUUAAAGGGAGCGUAGGCCGGAGAUUAAGCGUGUUGUGAAAUGUAGAUGCUCAACAUCUGAACUGCAGCGCGAACUGGUUUCCUUGAGUACGCAUAAAGUGGGCGGAAUUCGUGGUGUAGCGGUGAAAUGCUUAGAUAUCACGAAGAACUCCGAUUGCGAAGGCAGCUCACUGGGGCGCAACUGACGCUGAAGCUCGAAAGCGCGGGUAUCGAACAGG